rnacentral:rRNA from 1 species
AUACGGAGGGUGCAAGCGUUAUUCGGAAUCACUGGGCGUAAAGCGCACGUAGGCGGCGGGGUAUGUCGGGUGUGAAAGCCCUCGGCUUAACCGAGGAAGUGCAUCCGAAACUGCCUGGCUUGAGUAUGGGAGAGGGUAGCGGAAUUCCCGGUGUAGAGGUGAAAUUCGUAGAUAUCGGGAGGAACACCAGUGGCGAAGGCGGCUACCUGGACCAAUACUGACGCUGAGGUGCGAAAGCGUGGGGAGCAAACAGGAUUAGAAACCCCGGUAGUCC